rnacentral:rRNA from 1 species
UGGGGAAUAUUGCGCAAUGGGGGGAACCCUGACGCAGCCAUGCCGCGUGAAUGAAGAAGGCCUUAGGGUUGUAAAGUUCUUUCGGUAUUGAGGAAGGUUGAUGUGUUAAUAGCACAUCAAAUUGACGUUAAAUACAGAAGAAGCACCGGCUAACUCCGUGCCAGCAGCCGCGGUAAUACGGAGGGUGCGAGCGUUAAUCGGAAUAACUGGGUGUAAAGGGCACGCAGGCGGUUAUUUAAGUGAGGUGUGAAAGCCCCGGGCUUAACCUGGGAAUUGCAUUUCAGACUGGGUAACUAGAGUACUUUAGGGAGGGGUAGAAUUCCACGUGUAGCGGUGAAAUGCGUAGAGAUGUGGAGGAAUACCGAAGGCGAAGGCAGCCCCUUGGGAAUGUACUGACGCUCAUGUGCGAAAGCGUGGGGAGCAAACAGGAUUAGAUACCCUGGUAGUCCACGCUGUAAACGCUGUCGAUUUGGGGGUUGGGGUUUAACUCUGGCGCCCGUAGCUAACGUGAUAAAUCGACCGCCUGGGGAGUACGGCCGCAAGGUUA